UUAGUGGCGAACGGGUGAGUAACACGUGAGUAACCUGCCCUUCACUCUGGGAUAACUCCGGGAAACCGGUGCUAAUACUGGAUAUGACUCCAACCUGCAUGGGUAUGGGGUGGAAAGAUUUAUCGGUGGAGGAUGGACUCGCGGCCUAUCAGCUUGUUGGUGGGGUAAUGGCCUACCAAGGCGACGACGGGUAGCCGGCCUGAGAGGGUGACCGGCCACACUGGGACUGAGACACGGCCCAG
rnacentral:rRNA from 1 species